UGCUUACUCCUGAUUGCAUGGCUGACUUGGGAGCUCCAGGCUGCUGCUGCUGCUUAGCAACACAAGAGAUUAUCGACCCAGAUAUCACCAGCUCAGUCCUGGAAGUCUGAGGAGGGUCUUUCAAAACUAAAAUCAAGGUACAGGUCCCAGAGCCCAGCUGCUACAGCAGGUGACAUGGGGAGCAGAGCUGUGCUGCCAGCUUCUCAUCAGUCCUGCACAACACCAGGCCAGAGAGCCACAUGUUAAUGCUACAUGCUCGCCAGAGCCACCACCUACCACAACCAGUCCACAGCUGGCCCAAGUCACCACUGGACCUGAGGGUGUGCAUUACACACACACACACACAAACACACACACACACAGCUUUCACUGAUGAGGAUACACUCACUCCAGUCUGUAACCCCAGAGCCAACACUCCCAUUACUGGAACAGCCACCCAGUGGUUGUACCACCCCACUGCUGUAUGCACCAUGUUGACCUCAGGUUCUAGAGUAUUCCUCACCCACAUGGCCUCUGGUGGAGGGAAGGGCUCUUUGACCCUGACACAGUACAUACUGUGCCCAAAAUCUGUAAUUACUUCUGAAAAAGUUAGAGUAACAACUACAUUGCAGUACCCAACUGGAACCAAAGCUAAUGUAACCUAACAAAGAGACACCCUAAGACACGAUUAGGAGAAAUCUAUGCCCCCAAAAAGGAUCUCAUAAAAUUGGCACAGACAACUGACACCUCAGAUGCAAAAAUCUCAAUGUAGGGACACAAGAAGUAUGAAGAAAACAAAGUCUCAUGAUGCCUCCAAAGGAGCACAGUAACUUUCAAGCCAAGGAUAUCCAUGAAAUGCCUUAUAAAAUAUUUAAAAGAAUGACUAUAAGGGAACUAAGAUUCAACAGAAUACAGAAAGAUAAUUAAGUAAAAGUAGGAAGAUAAUUUGUGCUAUGAAUGAGAAAUGUGGUGAAAAGAUUGAGAUUUUAAAAAAGAAUCCAAGAGAAAUUUUCAAAAUCAAUGCACAAUUUAAAAAAUAAGUCAAAUAAAAAAUACAGUUGAAAACCUCAACAGGCAAGAUCAAGCAGGAAAAUUAAUCUGAACUUUUAAGACAGUUCUUUUAUUCUUUUGAAAUAUCCUAGCCACACAUAGAAAAAGAGAAAAAUAUGAAUACAGCCUCCAAAAACUAUAAGAUACCAUUAAAGGAAUAAAUAUUUACAUUUUUGAUGUUUUUGAAAAUAAAAGAAAGGGAAAGAAAUAGUCAGUGAAAUAACACCUGAAAACUUCCUCAUUCUUGGGAAAGACAGGUCCAUCCACGUGGAGAAGUUCUCUAGGACCCCAAAUAGUCAUUCCUAGAAAACAUUCUAACCACAGCAUGUUAUAAUCAAACUGUAAAACAUGAUAAAAAUAGCAAGAGAAGAACACCAACUCACACUUAAAGGA